rnacentral:rRNA from 1 species
GCCAAAAUUAUAGCCUAACUAAACAACCUACAUUUAAUAACAAACUAAAAUAUUUUCUCAUUUAAGUAAAGAUGAUUAAAAAAUUAACAUAGCGCUAUAUUAAAGUACCGCAAGGGAAAAAUGAAAUAAAAUGAAACACAAUAAAGCAUAAAAAAGUAAAGAUUACACCUUGUACCUUUUGCAUCAUGGUUUAACUAGUCUACCCAAGCAAAAAGAUUUUUAGUUUGACCCCCCGAAACUGAGUGAGCUACUUCAGGGCAGCUUAUUGAGCAAACCCGUCCCUGUUGAAAAAGGGUGGGAAGACCCAGUAGUAGAGGUGAUACGCCUAACGAACUCAGUAAUAGCUGGUUACUCAAGAAAAGAAUUUUAGUCCAACCUAAAGCUUUCCCAACCCAAAAAAGUCUACUUUAGAGUAAUUCAAAUAAGGAACAGCUUAUUUGACAUAGGACACAACCUCAUACAAUGGCUAAUUCAUUCCAAAAUAAACUAAGUAGGCCUAAAAGCAGCCACCUUAAAAAGGCGUCAAAGCCUAAUUUUAACUACACUUAAUUACAUAAUUUAUACAGAACCCUUCACCAAUAUUGAGUAAUUCUAUAUUCCUAUAGAAAUUUUUAUGUUAAAACUAGUAACAAGAAGACCCUUCUCUUUUAAUGCACGCAUAAAUCAAACUGGAUAAUCCACUGAUAAUUACACAAUACAACAGAAAACUUUUACCCAUGAAAACCCUGUCCCUUAUUCUGUUAAACUAACACAAGAGCAUUUCAAGAAAGAUUAAAAGAAAAAGAAGGAACUCGGCAAAUAUAGAUCCCGCCUGUUUACCAAAAACAUCGCCUCUUGAAAUAAUUAUAAGAGGUCUAGCCUGCCCACUGACAUCAGUUUAACGGCCGCGGUACCCUGACCGUGCAAAGGUAGCGUAAUCACUUGUUUUUUAAAUAAAGACUAGUAUGAACGGCACCACGAGAAUCUAACUGUCUCCUUUUUCUAAUCUGUGAAACUAAUCUCCCCGUGAAAAAGCGGGAAUCAUUAUAUAAGACGAGAAGACCCUAUGGAGCUUUAGACAAAACAGUAAAUGCUACCUAUCAUAAUUUUCUGAAAAUUACUUACUAAAUCAUUCUACUUUCUAGUCUUCGGUUGGGGCGACCAUGGAGUAAAAUCUACCCUCCACGCUGAAAAGAACCUACUUAAAUAAAGAGCCACAGCUCUAUAUAUCAAUAAAUUGACACACUUGACCCAAUAUUUGAUCAACGAAACAAGUUACCCUAGGGAUAACAGCGCAAUCCACUUUAAGAGCCCUUAUCAACAAGUGGGUUUACGACCUCGAUGUUGGAUCAGGGUAUCCUAGUGGUGUAACCGCUACUAAAGGUUUGUUUGUUCAACAAUUAAAACCCU